rnacentral:tRNA from 1 species
AAGUAAGAAGCGAAUAUUUGCAUUCAGUUUCGACCUGACCCUUGAUAAAAUUUUAUCCUUACUUA